UACGUAGGGUGCAAGCGUUGUCCGGAAUUAUUGGGCGUAAAGAGCUCGUAGGCGGUCUGUCGCGUCUGCUGUGAAAAUCCAGGGCUCAACCCUGGACCUGCAGUGGGUACGGGCAGACUAGAGUGCGGUAGGGGAGAUCGGAAUUCCUGGUGUAGCGGUGAAAUGCGCAGAUAUCAGGAGGAACACCGGUGGCGAAGGCGGGUCUCUGGGCAGUAACUGACGCUGAGGAGCGAAAGCGUGGGGAGCGAAUAGG
rnacentral:rRNA from 1 species